rnacentral:rRNA from 1 species
GCAAGGGGAGUGGCAGACGGGUGAGUAACGCGUGGGAACAUACCCUUUCCUGCGGAAUAGCUCCGGGAAACUGGAAUUAAUACCGCAUACGCCCUACGGGGGAAAGAUUUAUCGGGGAAGGAUUGGCCCGCGUUGGAUUAGCUAGUUGGUGGGGUAAAGGCCUACCAAGGCGACGAUCCAUAGCUGGUCUGAGAGGAUGAUCAGCCACAUUGGGACUGAGACACGGCCCAAACUCCUACG